AAGCAUCCAGCCUCAUAUGCAUCGUUUCUUGAUUUACUUCUCCAUGAUUUCUGCUUUGGGUCUCACAGGGAAGUCAAGUAGCGGAAAUGUGGUUGGUUGUGAAACAGUGGUUGUGUGGGUUUGUCUACCCUGGAUUUAGAAUUCUUGAAUUUGUCUUUUGCUUCUACUUUUCAUUGGUCUAGUAUUAGCAUUUCUCGAAUUACUUCUCCCUUUUUUCGUCUUGGGUCUCACAGGGAAGACUAGUGACUGUGUGGGUUGUUGUCGAAGCAGUGACUAUCUUAUUGUUGGGUUAUACCUCUCGAUCUAUUCUCUACCGAUUCUUGAUCUACUUGCAAGCAUUUAUUUUCGUGGUGCUGCUGAUUUAAGAUUGAACCAAUAAAUUAUUAUGCCUUUCUGGAAACCGUGAAUUAGAAUCUGGCUAUAGAUAUAUUUAAUGUCUUUGAUGACUUUGUUUAUAUAUACUGGCUACAUAUGAGUUUUAUACUGUUUUCAUUUUCUGGAUUUUGAUCACAGGGAAUAUGGAUUGUAUUGUGAACCUGUUUCAUCCGCAGUAUGUUGUGGUAGCAGCGGUGUGAGAGUACUAUUUAUGAUUAAUAAAAACCUUAGGUUUUAUUACCCUUGAUAGUUGAUACAAUCAGUAUCUUCCUCUUUUAUGGGUUCUGGAUUUGUUGUUUUUGACAUUGUAGGGUUCUGUCAGUCAGAGUUCUUGAUGUUUCCUUUUUGGAAAUUGUACGAGUAUUAAUAGGUUCUUCAUAGCAUCGGUCCCCUUUAUGAUUUGAUGAUCUUUGGCUAGAUUUUGAACAGUUGGAUUUCUAAGUGGUUAGUUAUUUAUUUACUUUUCAGGGAUUUGUGAGCAACAAAAGUGUAGAGGGCUGUGGAUGCUAUGGCGGGAGAGUAGGAUUGAUCGACUUCCACCUAAAGUCUUAGGUUUAAUUAUCCUUGGUAUAUUCAUUUUGAAUUUUAUAUGUUCAUUCUUGACUGGUUAUCUUCUUCUAGGGGUUCUGGAUUGAUUGUUGGUUUUAAU
rnacentral:lncRNA from 1 species